GACGAACGCUGGCGGCGCGCCUAACACAUGCAAGUCGAACGAGCGAGAGAGAGCUUGCUUUCUCGAGCGAGUGGCGAACGGGUGAGUAACGCGUGAGGAACCUGCCUCAAAGAGGGGGACAACAGUUGGAAACGACUGCUAAUACCGCAUAAGCCCACGGCUCGGCCUCGAGCGGGGGGAAAAGGAGCAAUCCGCUUUGAGAUGGCCUCGCUUCCGAUUAGCUGGUUGGUGGGGUAACGGCCCACCAAGGCGACGAUCGGUAGACGGAAUGAGAGGUUGAACCGCCACAUCGGGACUGAGACACGGCCCAGACUACUACGGGAGGGAGCAGUGGGGAAUAUUGCACAAUGGGGGAAAUCCUGAUGCAGCGACGCCGCGUGGAGGAAGAAGGUCUUCGGAUUGUAAACUCCUGUUGUUGGGGAAGAUAAUGACGGUACCCAACAAGGAAGUGACGGCUAACUACGUG
rnacentral:rRNA from 1 species